rnacentral:rRNA from 1 species
CACGCAGGCGGUUUGUUAAGCCAGAUGUGAAAGCCCCGAGCUCAACUCGGAAACUGCAUUUGGAACUGGCAAACUAGAGUCUUGUAGAGGGGGUAGAAUUUCCAGUGUAGCGGUGAAAUGCGUAGAGAUUGGAAGGAAUACCAGUGGCGAAGGCGGCCCCCUGGACAAAGACUGACGCUCAUGUGCGAAAGCGUGGGGAGCAAACA